rnacentral:rRNA from 1 species
AAUAGAUACCCCGGUAGUCCACGCCGUAAACGAUGAGUGCUAAGUGUUAGGGGGUUUCCGCCCCUUAGUGCUGCAGCUAACGCAUUAAGCACUCCGCCUGGGGAGUACGGUCGCAAGACUGAAACUCAAAGGAAUUGACGGGGGCCCGCACAAGCGGUGGAGCAUGUGGUUUAAUUCGAAGCAACGCGAAGAAUCUUACCAGGUCUUGACAUCCCAUUGACCGCUAUGGAGACAUGGCUUUCCCUUCGGGGACAGUGGUGACAGGUGGUGCAUGGUUGUCGUCAGCUCGUGUCGUGAGAUGUUGGGUUAAGUCCCGCAACGAGCGCAACCCUUGUUCUUAGUUGCCAUCAUUUAGUUGGGCACUCUAAGGAGACUGCCGGUGACAAACCGGAGGAAGGUGGGGAUGACGUCAAAUCAUCAUGCCCCUUAUGACCUGGGCUACACACGUGCUACAAUGGACGGUACAAACGGUUGCCAACCCGCGAGGGGGAGCUAAUCCGAUAAAACCGUUCUCAGUUCGGAUUGUAGGCUGCAACUCGCCUAC